rnacentral:rRNA from 1 species
CGUCGUGAAGAGGGAAACAACCCAGACCGCCAGCUAAGGUCCCAAAGUCAUGGUUAAGUGGGAAACGAUGUGGGAAGGCCCAGACAGCCAGGAUGUUGGCUUAGAAGCAGCCAUCAUUUAAAGAAAGCGUAAUAGCUCACUGGUCGAGUCGGCCUGCGCGGAAGAUGUAACGGGGCUAAACCAUGCACCGAAGCUGCGGCAGCGACGCUUAUGCGUUGUUGGGUAGGGGAGCGUUCUGUAAGCCUGUGAAGGUGUACUGUGAGGUAUGCUGGAGGUAUCAGAAGUGCGAAUGCUGACAUAAGUAACGAUAAAGCGGGUGAAAAGCCCGCUCGCCGGAAGACCAAGGGUUCCUGUCCAACGUUAAUCGGGGCAGGGUGAGUCGACCCCUAAGGCGAGGCCGAAAGGCGUAGUCGAUGGGAAACAGGUUAAUAUUCCUGUACUUGGUGUUACUGCGAAGGGGGGACGGAGAAGGCUAUGUUGGCCGGGCGACGGUUGUCCCGGUUUAAGCGUGUAGGCUGGUUUUCCAGGCAAAUCCGGAAAAUCAAGGCCGAGGCGUGAUGACGAGGCACUACGGUGCUGAAGCAACAAAUGCCCUGCUUCCAGGAAAAGCCUCUAAGCAUCAGGUAACAUCAAAUCGUACCCCAAACCGACACAGGUGGUCAGGUAGAGAAUA